rnacentral:rRNA from 1 species
UCGGGAAUUUUGGGCAAUGGGCGAAAGCCUGACCCAGCAACGCCGCGUGAAGGAUGAAGUAUUUCGAUAUGUAAACUUCGAAAGAAUAGGAAGAAUAAAUGACGGUACUAUUUAUAAGGUCCGGCUAACUACGUGCCAGCAGCCGCGGUAAUACGUAGGGACCAAGCGUUGUUCGGAUUUACUGGGCGUAAAGGGCGCGUAGGCGGCAAUUCAAGUCAUCUGUGAAAUCUCCGGGCUUAACUCGGAACGGUCAGAUGAUACUGCUUUGCUAGAGUGCAGAAGGGGCAAUCGGAAUUCUUGGUGUAGCGGUGAAAUGCGUAGAUAUCAAGAGGAACACCUGAGGUGAAGACGGGUUGCUGGGCUGACACUGACGCUGAGGCGCGAAAGCCAGGGGAGCAAACGGGAUUAGAUACCCCCGUAGUCCCUGAGCGGGCUGGCAAGGCGCAU